rnacentral:pre_miRNA from 1 species
GCAACGUCUGCUACUUGCUUAGUCGUUAACCAUAGUUUUCUUUAUAUAACUAUAAAGAUUGACGGCUGAGUAGGUAACAGGCGCUGCC